AACGCUUCGCCGGGCUAAGCCUCGCCAGCGCUGAGGACGAAAUAGUAAUGGAACUUGCCGCCGAACGAAAGUCCAGGCGGAGGCUUCCUUUCCCGCUGGCGAAAGGCAUAAAUUUGAAUUGUUUUACUAUGUCUGCAGUAGCAUGAGAAGUUGAACGAAUUAGAAAAGACACACUAAUUUAUUUUUGCAAUAACUCAAGCAAGUUUUAUAAAUAUCGAUGUAUUUACAUCUUUUUUCAAGACUAUGUAGUAUCGCUCCAUGAGGAUUCAAGACGCCUGCCUCCUCCGGUAAGUGCACUCUGUAUUAUCGUUCACAUAAUUAGGUUAAUUUCCAUUUUAUGCAAGCCUGCGGCUUUGUUUGAAUGUUUUGAUGAAUGCAGCGGUACUGUCAGGUGCAUCAAAGGUGUCUCACGCCCGCAGGUGAGCCAUAAUGAGCUGUGCCAAGGCCACAUUCUUGAGUCCUGCCCGGGCUAGUCAUAUUACUGAUUUUAUGCAGGAUGAGUUAAUAAAUUGUUAUUUUCAUCAUAAUUUCAUAAUGAAAUUUACAAAAUGAGUAUUCAGAAUCAUUCGUCAGUUGUGUAUUUAUAAAUUAUUGAUGGAUUUAAUAGGCAAAAUGUAACAAAAGCUGAUGAAGGUAUUUCCUGUUUCCUGUAUUUUCAGGUAUUGACAUAAGAGUGCAAGCAAGUAUAAAGGCUGUAGUCACUGUCUAGUGGGGUCACUCCCUCCUAAACCUAGAUCAAGAGCAAGACCCAGAUGAUGGCAGCCUUACAAGUUUUUGAGGAGCUUGAUGUCCUCGAGGAUGCUGCAGGGGAAAGGGUCAGACUGCCGAGAAGGAUUGUAAAGGAUCGCUUGGAUUUAUUCCUGACUUUGACUGAAGAGGAAUUUACAUCCAGGUUCAGGAUAUCAAAGCAAAGCGCAAGGGCCUUACUUGCUGACUUACAUUUACCAGAGGCAGCUGAUGCAAGAGGAUGUCCUGUACCACCUCACCUUCAACUCCUCAUCACCUUAAGAUGGAUGGCCACUGGUGACCUGCACCAAACUAUUGGAGAUUGCCUGGAUGUCUCUCAGCAGUUUGUAAGUUCAUGCUCUUCACGUACUGUGCGUGCCAUUACUGCUUUAUAUCAGCGGUAUGUAAAGAAUUCCUGGAAGGCAUGAGUUAGGGUCCAUCAAGACAAACUUUGAAGCAAUCUCUGGAUUCCCAGGUGUCAUUGGUGCAAUAGACUGCACACACAUCCCCAUUCUCAGUCCAGGUGGUCAGCAAGCAGAAACUUACCGAAGCAGAAAGGGCUUCUUUUCAUUAAAUGUACAAGCAGUGUGUGGUCCAGACUUAACAUUUUAUAAUAUUAUAUGUCGAUGGCCAGGAUCAGUCCACGACAGCGGAAUAUUUGCUAAUAGUUCUCUGUAUGCUCAGUUGCAAGCUGGCGAUUACAAUGGCCAUUUGUUAGGGGACUCAGCCUACCCUCUUCGUCCCUUUCUUAUGACUCCUGUUGGGAAUCCAUCACGGCCAAAUGAAGGACGAUAUAACUUGGCUCAUGCUAAAACCCGUAAUGUAAUAGAGAGAGCAUUUGGAGUGUGGAAACGACGAUUCCGUUGUCUGGCCAUUCCUAUGCGUACAAGCCUGGACACAACCAUGGCCACAAUCUGCAGUGCAGCUGUUUUGCACAACAUUGCACUGGCAGACAGGAAUGAAGAUAUGGAAGAUUAUGACAAUGAUAUUAUAAAUGAAGAGGAAAGACUCAUUGAGUAUGCACAAAAUAGACAUGCAGGACAGAGGAAGAGGGCAAACAUGAUAAAUAAUGUAUUUUCAAAUGAAUAACAUGAAAUGAUAUAAAUGUCAGGGACCAAUUUUUGCUGCCCAAAUAGUGAUAAAAGUAAACUGUUGUCUGUAUCUUUUUUGGGUUUUGUAAACUGAGGGAGUAAGCCAAUACAAAGGCUGCAGGCACUAUACCAAAUGGGGUGACUAUCUGGCCCGUGCUGGGUUAAUGGGUCUCUCCCACUACAAGCUCAAAGGGUCAACUGGACAGGAAUGAGCUCUGAGCUCCACAGUCACACAUAGCUAUAGCAUAUACUCCCAUUACACACACAGGACAUGCAAACACACAGGCGUGGAACCCUACUCUACCUUCAGGUAAUGUGGUUUUCAGUCUGGAAAAUAAGUUAUAUUUGUUUUCAAGUUUUAUAUUUUUGUGGAAUCUGUUUUAUAUGGUUGACUAAUAAAAUCUAUUGGAAAAGUA